CCGAGUUAUUAACUCAUUAACCCCUGUGAAAAUACCUAAACGUUGUUCGGCGGGAACAGACGGCCCCGUGAAACGGGCCGCCCCCGCCAGAGGACCCCUAACUCUGUUUNUAUAAUGUUUCUUCUGAGUAAACAAGCAAAUAAAUUAAAACUUUCAACAACGGAUCUCUUGGCUCUGGCAUCGAUGAAGAACGCAGCGAAAUGCGAUAAGUAAAUGUGAAUUGCAGAAUUCAGUGAAUCAUCGAAUCUUUGAACGCACAUUGCGCCCGCCAGUAUUCUGGCGGGCAUGCCUGUUCGAGCGUCAUUACAACCCUCAGGCCCCCGGGCCUGGCGUUGGGGAUCGGCGGAGCCCCCCGUGGGCACACGCCGUCCCCCAAAUACAGUGGCGGUCCCGCCGCAGCUUCCAUCGCGUAGUAGCUAACACCUCGCGACUGGAGAGCGGCGCGGCCACGCCCGUAAACACCCAACUCUUCUGAAG
rnacentral:rRNA from 1 species